rnacentral:rRNA from 1 species
GCAAGUCGAGCGGUAGCACAGAGAGCUUGCUCUCGGGUGACGAGCGGCGGACGGGUGAGUAAUGUCUGGGAAACUGCCUGAUGGAGGGGGAUAACUACUGGAAACGGUAGCUAAUACCGCAUAACGUCGCAAGACCAAAGAGGGGGACCUUCGGGCCUCUUGCCAUCAGAUGUGCCCAGAUGGGAUUAGCUAGUAGGUGGGGUAACGGCUCACCUAGGCGACGAUCCCUAGCUGGUCUGAGAGGAUGACCAGCCACACUGGAACUGAGACACGGUCCAGACUCCUACGGGAGGCAGCAGUGGGGAAUAUUGCACAAUGGGCGCAAGCCUGAUGCAGCCAUGCCGCGUGUAUGAAGAAGGCCUUCGGGUUGUAAAGUACUUUCAGCGGGGAGGAAGGUGUUGAGGUUAAUAACCUCAGCAAUUGACGUUACCCGCAGAAGAAGCACCGGCUAACUCCGUGCCAGCAGCCGCGGUAAUACGGAGGGUGCAAGCGUUAAUCGGAAUUACUGGGCGUAAAGCGCACGCAGGCGGUCUGUCAAGUCGGAUGUGAAAUCCCCGGGCUCAACCUGGGAACUGCAUUCGAAACUGGCAGGCUAGAGUCUUGUAGAGGGGGGUAGAAUUCCAGGUGUAGCGGUGAAAUGCGUAGAGAUCUGGAGGAAUACCGGUGGCGAAGGCGGCCCCCUGGACAAAGACUGACGCUCAGGUGCGAAAGCGUGGGGAGCAAACAGGAUUAGAUACCCUGGUAGUCCACGCCGUAAACGAUGUCGACUUGGAGGUUGUGCCCUUGAGGCGUGGCUUCCGGAGCUAACGCGUUAAGUCGACCGCCUGGGGAGUACGGCCGCAAGGUUAAAACUCAAAUGAAUUGACGGGGGCCCGCACAAGCGGUGGAGCAUGUGGUUUAAUUCGAUGCAACGCGAAGAACCUUACCUACUCUUGACAUCCAGAGAACUUUCCAGAGAUGGAUUGGUGCCUUCGGGAACUCUGAGACAGGUGCUGCAUGGCUGUCGUCAGCUCGUGUUGUGAAAUGUUGGGUUAAGUCCCGCAACGAGCGCAACCCUUAUCCUUUGUUGCCAGCGGUCCGGCCGGGAACUCAAAGGAGACUGCCAGUGAUAAACUGGAGGAAGGUGGGGAUGACGUCAAGUCAUCAUGGCCCUUACGAGUAGGGCUACACACGUGCUACAAUGGCGCAUACAAAGAGAAGCGACCUCGCGAGAGCAAGCGGACCUCAUAAAGUGCGUCGUAGUCCGGAUUGGAGUCUGCAACUCGACUCCAUGAAGUCGGAAUCGCUAGUAAUCGUAGAUCAGAAUGCUACGGUGAAUACGUUCCCGGGCCUUGUACACACCGCCCGUCACACCAUGGGAGUGGGUUGCAAAAGAAGUAGGUAGCUUAACCUUCGGGAGGGCGCUU